rnacentral:rRNA from 1 species
AUUGAACGCUGGCGGCAUGCCUUACACAUGCAAGUCGAACGGCAGCGGGGACUUCGGUCCGCCGGCGAGUGGCGAACGGGUGAGUAAAGUAUCGGAACGUACCUUUCAGUGGGGGAUAACGUAGCGAAAGUUACGCUAAUACCGCAUAUUCUGUGAGCAGGAAAGCAGGGGAUCGCAAGACCUUGCGCUGAUUGAGCGGCCGAUAUCAGAUUAGCUAGUUGGUGAGGUAAAGGCUCACCAAGGCGACGAUCUGUAGCGGGUAUGAGAGGAUGAUCCGCCACACUGGAACUGAGACACGGUCCAGACUCCUACGGGAGGCAGCUGUGGGGAAUUUUGGACAAUGGGGGCAACCCUGAUCCAGCCAUGCCGCGUGAGUGAAGAAGGCCUUCGGGUUGUAAAGCUCUUUCGGCCGGGAAGAAAUCGUAUGGGUUAAUACCCUGUGCGGAUGACGGUACCGGCAUAAGAAGCACCGGCUAACUACGUGCCAGCCGCCGCAGUAACAC